rnacentral:rRNA from 1 species
GCUAGAUGUUGACGACCGGCGCACGGGUGCGUAACGCGUAUAGAACCUACCUUUUACUGGAGAAUAGCCCAGAGAAAUUUGGAUUAAUGCUCCAUGGUAUUAUUGAAUGGCAUCAUUUGAUAAUUAAAGAUUUAUUGGUAAAAGAUGGCUAUGCGUUCUAUUAGUUAGUUGGUAAGGUAACGGCUUACCAAGACUUCGAUAGAUAGGGGUCCUGAGAGGGAGAUCCCCCACACUGGUACUGAGACACGGACCAGACUCCUACGGGAGGCAGCAGUGAGGAAUAUUGGACAAUGGAGGCAACUCUGAUCCAGCCAUGCCGCGUGUAGGAAGACUGCCCUAUGGGUUGUAAACUACUUUUAUAUGGGAAGAAACCGCUCUACGUGUAGAGCUCUGACGGUACCAUAAGAAUAAGGAUCGGCUAACUCCGUGCCAGCAGCCGCGGUAAUACGGAGGAUCCAAGCGUUAUCCGGAAUCAUUGGGUUUAAAGGGUCCGUAGGCGGACUUAUAAGUCAGUGGUGAAAGUUUGCGGCUCAACCGUAAAAUUGCCAUUGAUACUGUAAGUCUUGAAUAAUAAUGAAGUGGUUAGAAUAAGUAGUGUAGCGGUGAAAUGCAUAGGUAUUACUUAGAAUACCGAUUGCGAAGGCAGAUCACUAAUUAUUUAUUGACGCUGAGGGACGAAAGCGUGGGUAGCGAACAGGAUUAGAUACCCUGGUAGUCCACGCCGUAAACGAUGGUUACUAGUUGUUUGGUUUUCGGACUAAGUGACUAAGCGAAAGUGAUAAGUAACCCACCUGGGGAGUACGUUCGCAAGAAUGAAACUCAAAGGAAUUGACGGGGGCCCGCACAAGCGGUGGAGCAUGUGGUUUAAUUCGAUGAUACGCGAGGAACCUUACCAGGGCUUAAAUGUAGAUUGACAGG